GACGUAGGGCGCGAGCGUUGUCCGGAUUUAUUGGGCGUAAAGAGCUCGUAGGCGGCUUGUCGCGUCGUCCGUGAAAACUUGGGGCUCAACCCCAAGCUUGCGGUCGAUACGGGCAGGCUAGAGUUCGGUAGGGGAGACUGGAAUUCCGGGUGUAGUGGUGAAAUGCGUAGAGAUCCGGAGGAACCCCAGAGGCGAAGGCGGUGCCCUGGCUCGCAACUGACGCUCAGACACGACAGCAUGGGGAGCGAACGGG
rnacentral:rRNA from 1 species